AUUGAACGCUGGCGGCAGGCUUAACACAUGCAAGUCGAGCGGAGACGAGGUGCUUGCACCUUAUCUUAGCGGCGGACGGGUGAGUAAUGCUUAGGAAUCUGCCUAUUAGUGGGGGACAACAUUCCGAAAGGAAUGCUAAUACCGCAUACGUCCUACGGGAGAAAGCAGGGGAUCUUCGGACCUUGCGCUAAUAGAUGAGCCUAAGUCGGAGUAGCUAGUUGGUGGGGUAAAGGCCUACCAAGGCGACGAUCUGUAGCGGGUCUGAGAGGAUGAUCCGCCACACUGGGACUGAGACACGGCACAGACUCCUACGGGAGGCAGCAGUGGGGAAUAUUGGACAAUGGGGGGAACCCUGAUCCAGCCAUGCCGCGUGUGUGAAGAAGGCCUUAUGGUUGUAAAGCACUUUAAGCGAGGAGGAGGCUACUGAGACUAAUACUCUUGGAUAGUGGGCGUUACUCGCAGAAUAAGCACCGGCUAACUCUGUGCCAGCCGCCGCCGUAAGAC
rnacentral:rRNA from 1 species